rnacentral:rRNA from 1 species
AUACGGAGGGUCCAAGCGUUGUUCGGAUUUAUUGGGCGUAAAGCGAGUGUAGGCGGUUUGACAAGUCGGAUGUGAAAUCCCAGGGCCCAACCCCGGAACUGCAUCCGAUACUGUCAGGCUAGAGUCCCGGAGAGGGUGGCGGAAUUCCCGGUGUAGGGGUGAAAUCCGUAGAUAUCGGGAGGAACACCAGUGGCGAAGGCGGCCACCUGGACGGUGACUGACGCUGAGACUCGAAAGUGUGGGUAGCAAACAGGAUUAGAAACCCCAGUAGUCC